UACGAAGGGGGCUAGCGUUGCUCGGAAUCACUGGGCGUAAAGCGCACGUAGGCGGACUCUUAAGUCGGUGGUGAAAUCCUGGAGCUCAACUCCAGAACUGCCUUCGAUACUGAGAGUCUCGAGUCCGGGAGAGGUGAGUGGAACUGCGAGUGUAGAGGUGAAAUUCGUAGAUAUUCGCAAGAACACCAGUGGCGAAGGCGGCCUCACUGGCCCGGUACUGACGCUGAGGUGCGAAAGCGUGGGGAGCAA
rnacentral:rRNA from 1 species